rnacentral:lncRNA from 1 species
CAGCGCGAAGGCGCGACGUUUUCGAGUUUUCAUAAUAUUAUGAUAAAUAAAACUUUCCUAGUGAGAUUUAAGAGUGGGUAUAUAUUAUCUAUGCAUUCUACGAGCUUUCUUUCAACAAAUUGUGGAAUAGCUAACCGUAAUACUUAUCAAAGAUCGAAGAUCAAACUGAGAGAAAACUAGUCGAGUGAUCUGUCUUUUAAUAAACUGUCUAUUUUGUAUCCAAUGCAGCUGCUUGUGUGCGACGUUUUAUAAAGAAUUAAAUAAACAUUGUUGAUUAUAAGUAAUUUUUAUGUAUUGACCAAAGAAUAUCACUUGGGAUUUUAUUGUACUUUUAUGGAAGGAUAAAUCAGAGGGGACAUCUAUGGAAACGAAAUUCUUCAUGUGUAUUUAAACAUGUAGUUAAUAUCAAAGCAGAAUAUUUUGAAACAAUUAACUGGUCGAGUGACAGGUUGGUUUCCGUAUGUAUGUAGUUUAAAAUACAGUUGUGAAUGAAAUUAUACACAGUAUCUUGAAACCUUUGUGUGUGUGAGUUAAUUUCAUAUUUAUUUUUUGGGAUGUAUUAUCUAUAUUUCUGUUUGUCUGGAAG